CAUGCAAGUCGAGGGGUAUAAGAAGCUUGCUUUUUAGAGACCGGCGGAUGGGUGAGUAACGCGUAUGCAACCUACCUUUUACAGGGGAAUAGCCCGGAGAAAUUCGGAUUAAUGCUCCAUGGUUUAUAGAUGUGGCAUCACGUUUAUAAUAAAGAUUUAUCGGUAAAAGAUGGGCAUGCGUAUCAUUAGCUAGUUGGUGUGGUAACGGCAUACCAAGGCGACGAUGAUUAGGGGUCCUGAGAGGGAGAUCCCCCACACUGGUACUGAGACACGGACCAGACUCCUACGGGAGGCAGCAGUGAGGAAUAUUGGUCAAUGGAGGCAACUCUGAACCAGCCAUGCCGCGUGCAGGAUGACGGUCCUAUGGAUUGUAAACUGCUUUUGUACGGGAAGAAAUGUAAUUACGAGUAAUUAUUUGACGGUACCGUAAGAAUAAGGAUCGGCUAACUCCGUGCCAGCAGCCGCGGUAAUACGGAGGAUCCGAGCGUUAUCCGGAAUUAUUGGGUUUAAAGGGUUCGUAGGCGGUUUAGUAAGUCAGUGGUGAAAUCUUGCAGCUUAACUGUAAAAUUGCCGUUGAUACUGCUAAACUUGAAUAGUAUGGAAGUAAUUAGAAUAUGUAGUGUAGCGGUGAAAUGCUUAGAUAUUACAUGGAAUACCAAUUGCGAAGGCAGAUUACUACGUACUUAUUGACGCUGAUGAACGAAAGCGUGGGUAGCGAACAGGAUUAGAUACCCUGGUAGUCCACGCCGUAAACGAUGGAUACUAGCUGUUCGGUCUUCGGAUUGAGUGGCUAAGCGAAAGUGAUAAGUAUCCCACCUGGGGAGUACGUUCGCAAGAAUGAAACUCAAAGGAAUUGACGGGGGCCCGCACAAGCGGUGGAGCAUGUGGUUUAAUUCGAUGAUACGCGAGGAACCUUACCAAGGCUUAAAUGUAGAUUGACAGGUUUAGAGAUAGACUUUCCUUCGGGCAAUUUACAAGGUGCUGCAUGGUUGUCGUCAGCUCGUGCCGUGAGGUGUCAGGUUAAGUCCUAUAACGAGCGCAACCCCUAUUGUUAGUUGCCAGCGGGUCAUGCCGGGAACUCUAACAAGACUGCCGGUGCAAACCGUGAGGAAGGUGGGGAUGACGUCAAAUCAUCACGGCCCUUACGUCUUGGGCUACACACGUGCUACAAUGGCCAGUACAGAAAGCAGCUACCAGGCAACUGGAUGCGAAUCUCAAAAGCUGGUCUCAGUUCGGAUUGGAGUCUGCAACUCGACUCUAUGAAGCUGGAAUCGCUAGUAAUCGGAUAUCAGCCAUGAUCCGGUGAAUACGUUCCCGGGCCUUGUACACACCGCCCGUCAAGCC
rnacentral:rRNA from 1 species